CACCUGCCUCGGCCUCCCAGAGUGCUAGGAUUCCAGGCAUGAGUCACCAUCCCCGGCCUGUACAGUCUCAUGAUUAUCUUCCAAAGAGUUUUUAAUUUUUUAUUACUUCUGAAACUCGUAAGUUAUAAAAGAAUCAAAGCAUUAUCUGAGAUGUCAGCUAGUCCAAUGACUGUAAACCAGGGUGGUGGAGUGGUAGUGGGUUUAUCUAAAUCACUUCUGAAGCACUUUUCCAAUAACAGCCUCCCUAUCUUCUGGAAGAAUUCUGGUAUGGCAACCAUGUUACAGUGGCAGUGGGAGUGAGGGGGGACGGGAGGUGAGUGAGCACCUGGGUUGUUUGCUAAACUACUUUAGCAAUUAUUGUGAUAGGUACCUACCCCCCAGAAUGCCCCCAAAACAUAUAACUAGUUGAAGACAAAACCAGAGUUUGAUGCAAAAACUCCUGCCAGUUUUAGUCUAGUCUUUUCCUAAUUAUUUUGCUUUGCCCUGACAAUUCAUCUUCAUCUCCAUAAUCCUUAUUAGUUCCAGAUAGAAACUUCCUUUAAUUUACUUAAACUCUGUUCUGGGAGCUCCCCUGCUCUCAUCUUCUACACUUAAAAACAAAUGAACAAAUUAAUGAACAGACAGCAACACAAACAAGCUAAAACAAACGGGCAGAGACGAUCAACUAUACACUGAAAACUCAUUUUCUCAUUUCCUGGCCUGGGGUUAUUGCUGGGGGUCAGCUUCCCAGCCAGGUGCUGCUUUUCUUAGGCCCUUUUGCAUCCAGGGGCAUCCAUGCACUCAUCAGUUAUCAACCACCAAUCAAGCAGCUGUCUUCUUUCCCGUGUCUAAUCAGACAAGGGUCAUCUGUCACAGAACUAUCCAAUCAGCAUUAAGGUGCCGAGUACAAAAGGCUGCUCAAAGAGAGAGUUUUUCUGACCAACAACAUUCUACUUUAUUGAGGAUUUGGAUGUGAGAGAGAUAUAUAUAUGGAAAGCUGACAUUUGGCUGUGGGAGCAGAAGUAAAAAGAGACACGGCGAGACGGACCUGAGGAAAAAUUCCCCCAGCAUAGACUGGUGAAAAGACAGAGGGCUCUGGAAUUAAUCAAGCUGGGUUUCUGCUUCAGUUUUGUCCCUCAUAGUUACUCCUCUGGGUUAUAAAGACUGUGACUUCUGCCUUGCUGAUAUUCUCUCUCCCUGGGUCAUCUCCUGUGCUUGCUUUGAUGGAAAGACCUACCAGGAAAGCCUCUUGCAAACAGCCAGCAACAAAGUGAGGUUCUCAGUCCAGUAGCUUGUGAGAAACUGUAUCAUGCUAGCAACCAUGGAGUGAAAUUGGAAGUGGAUGCUACUUCAGUUGAAUGUUAAGAUGACUGCAGCCUGGGCUGACACCGUAAUAACAGUCUCAUGAAGACUCUGAGGCAGAGGACCCACCUAGAUGAACUGUGCCUGAAUUCUUGACCUACAAAAACUGAAGCUACCAAAGGGCGCUGGAUUGAUGGUGUCACCUACUGACCAAAAUCCAAACCACCAGGACACAAUCACCUCCUCUCUGGGGCUCUCAAAGUCAGUACACAGGAAUUAUCAACGAAUUUCACCCUUCACCCAGUUUCAAUGAGCUCACCUAUGAAUGUAAACUAGAAAUCACAAGUCCCAUGUGAGAAGAAAAGACCUGGGGAGCCAUGUAAGAGUGGGGAUGAAGUGAGGAGACAACAUCCUUAUCAAUGUCUGACUUCUAUACUUUUCAGUCCUUAAGGCUUUGCUUUCAAUCUGCCCUGUGGGGAUCCCCGAGAAAUCUUGGAAGCUGUGUUACUGGCGAUGAUGGGACAAGAGAUUGGACACACCUCGUUAUACCCCCUCGUCACUAACUGACAUUAAGUAUUGCUUCUUAUGGAUUAAACAGAAACGAGCCAUUCUGAAAGACUCCACACCAAUAUCAACAAACUCCCUGAUGCUUUCCCUCCCUGUCUGCAGUUUCAACACAACUAACCAGUACUUCUCUCUUAUAAGACCAUCAACCACUGAGUGGUUCUGGCAAGUCUAUGGAGGAUGCACAGUGAGGUUUUUUUUUGUGUCCUGUUUUUCACCUUUUGACAUCAGAGGGCCAAAAUCUCUACCCUCAAAUCAUGCUAAUGCUGCCAUGGGACCCAUGGAGAGGCAUGAAGCUCAAUUGUACAUAUGCAUGCUUGUCCUUUCAUAAAUAUGCAUUACUCCUCUUAUAGCUUAUGAAUAUGCAUAUUUGGCCACCCCAUUCAGCAUAAAUCCCUGUCUUGUUCUCCCAAUCCUUGAAGUGCCUGUUUAUAGCCUCUAGGCCAGAGACUAUGCUUCCCAGCCUGUCAGAAUGGCCACCCUGCAGACUGCAAGCCAUUAUGAGAAAUAAAGCACUCUUUUUAAAAUUUAUGAACCUUGUCAUUCUUCAGUUGACAGUUUUAAGCUGAUAGAAAGAACUAUUAGUACUACUUUUAUGCUUAACAUUACAAAAUGUUUUUCUUUGUAGGAGGGAAAUCACAGGUAAAAUACAUCUUCAAAGGCAACCUAAAAUAGAAACAGU
rnacentral:lncRNA from 1 species